AGUGAACGCUGGCGGUAGGCCUAACACAUGCAAGUCGAACGGCAGCACAGGAGAGCUUGCUCUCUGGGUGGCGAGUGGCGGACGGGUGAGGAAUACAUCGGAAUCUACUCUGUCGUGGGGGAUAACGUAGGGAAACUUACGCUAAUACCGCAUACGACCUACGGGUGGAAGCAGGGGAUCUUCGGACCUUGCGCGAUUGAAUGAGCCGAUGUCGGAUUAGCUAGUUGGCGGGGUAAAGGCCCACCAAGGCGACGAUCCGUAGCUGGUCUGAGAAGAUGAUCAGCCACACUGGAACUGAGACACGGUCCAGACUCCUACGGGAGGCAGCAGUGGGGAAUAUUGGACAAUGGGCGCAAGCCUGAUCCAGCCAUACCGCGUGGGUGAAGAAGGCCUUCGGGUUGUAAAGCCCUUUUGUUGGGAAAGAAAUCCAGCUGGCUAAUACCCGGUUGGGAUGACGGUACCCAAAGAAUAAGCACCGGCUAACUUCGUGCCAGCAGCCGCCGUAA
rnacentral:rRNA from 1 species